AGUGAACGCUGGCGGUAGGCCUAACACAUGCAAGUCGAACGGCAGCACAGGAGAGCUUGCUCUCUGGGUGGCGAGUGGCGGACGGGUGAGGAAUACAUCGGAAUCUACUUUUUCGUGGGGGAUAACGUAGGGAAACUUACGCUAAUACCGCAUACGACCUACGGGUGAAAGCAGGGGACCUUCGGGCCUUGCGCGAUUGAAUGAACCGAUGUCGGAUUAGCUAAUUGGCGGGGUAAAGGACCACCAAGGCGACGAUCCGUAGCUGGUCUGCGGGGAUGGUCAGCACAAAUGAAACUGAGACACGUUCCAGACUCCUACGGGAGGAAGCAGUGGGGAAUAUUGGACAAUGGGCGCAAGCCUGAUUCAGCCAUACCGCGUGGGUGAAGAAGGCCUUCGGGUUGUAAAGCCCUUUUGUUGGGAAAGAAAUCCAGCUGGCUAAUACCCGGUUGGGAUGACGGUACCCAAAGAAUAAGCACCGGCUAACUUCGUGCCAGCAGCCGCCGUAA
rnacentral:rRNA from 1 species